rfam:Schistosoma curassoni strain Dakar, Senegal genome assembly, scaffold: SCTD_contig0018557
AUCCAACUGACGAGUCCUAAAAAGGACGAAAGGCGCAUCCUGGAU